UCGUCGGCGAUCCGUGGCCUGGCCGAGGCCGAGGGUCCCACCCUCCGGGGGAAGGAAGCACCGCCUCCCCGCGCGCCGGGGGCCUCCGCGAAGUGACUGGUAGUAACAAAGCCCAGGGCCCGGCUGCCCGCUCUUUGAAUGACAAAAUCAUCCUUGUUCCGCCGGCUUUUUUACACACAGCACGUUUACAUCUGAGACACAGGUUAAUUAUCCUCGUGUCUUCCUGAUCCCGAGCUGACAAAGCGGAAGCUCCUCCGGCUAGAGUGGUGGCAGGCCUGGGUUCAAAUUUUGAUCCUGCCAUUUACUUAGAAUGUCCUAGUGUGAAUUCAGCUGACACUUUCAAAAUGACCAGGAGUUAGAAAUUCACCAACUAUCGACAGAAAUCAGUUCCAACUGACUCAACCCAUGCCCCACUGCUACUACACGUCUUGCAGACACCUAACCACUUUAGCAAUUACGGGUAGGUGGAGGAAAGAGGGUUUGGAUCUACACUAACUAGUGAUCUUCUUUCAACCAAACAAAUUCUGCAGAAUGCCAAUUAUACUUCAGCCACAGAACACCUAAAGACGAAGAAAGCUAUUGUCAUCAUCUACCCAGUAAACUCAGACUUAAAAUUCUCAGUGAUCGUGAUUAAAGAGAUGUUGUUAUAUACCAAAUGCUUGCCUGGAAUACGGAAUAACUAGCUCUGCCUUUUGUAGGUAGGCCUCAGGAAGUUUUACCUCUUUAUUCUCAAAGGAGGAAGGUUUGUAUUAUUCUGUCCAUAUUGUUUAAGAGCUGUGUAUGUUUAUCAUCUUACCUGCAUUACAUGUUACAACAGGUCCCUUUAGGCAAUAUGGUUUCAGACUUUUCAGUGACAGUAUCCUUAUUCAGCACAAAUAGAACACAUUCUUUACAUUUUAUUUUUCUCUAUCUCUUCCUUUCUCAAAAAUAAGAUAAAGUGUUUUUAAACCAGUAGUACUCUAUAAAAUGCAUUGUUCCCUCCUUAUAAAAAACAAUUUUUAAACAGAGUAGCAGUCAUUGUUCUGUGUACCUUUACCCCAAGUUCUCUUAAAAUGUAGCCUGUAGAUGCCAGAAGCUGUCUGUUGUCUAGUGAUCAGAGCAUAACACAAGGUAUAAAUUGUUAACCUGCUUUGCCACUGAAGUCUGUAAAACAGAGGGAAUUGUGCAUGUAAUUUUUGAGAAAGUGUUGUCCAACUAUGUGGCUACAAAUGCCUGAAGUUUUCAGAAUAAAUCCUCUUCCAAAGGAUAGUGGAAACUUUUAUUAGUAACCAAGGAGCCUUGGAAAUUGAUGCAGUUGGCUCUUGAAUCACAAACAAACGUAACAAAUAUCAUGGGGAAAAUAUUGUUGAUGAACAAACAAAAAACCAACCUGGCUUGCUUGAUGCUAUCCCAUUUAUUACUUUUGUAUUGGUAAUUGAACCAUUUACAUUUUUCUUUAGAAUAAUUCUUGAAGCAGAAUGGGUAUAAAAAGCAGACCUACUAGUUGUUGCUUGGAAUAAUAAAAUAUGAAUCAUAUGAAAAAUGGAAAAAUACCUAUAUGAUAAAAUGCUUUUAAAACAAGUUUUUAACAUUCAUUUUUAUUCGUCUUUGUGUUUUUCUCCAGGUUGACACCAUUCUCAGGUAAAAAGAGCAAAUAUUUUCCUUUUUUAAAAAUUAAUUGCCAAUCUCUUAACUAAAGUCUCCUAUACAUAUUUUGGUAAAUCAUAUAAAGGUAAAUAUUUGUGUGAAAUUUUUAUCUUCCCUUUCUGUGCCUCUUCUAGUCCCUGUUAAAGUUCCAUGUCAAGGUGACAUUCCAAAAUGUGAAAUCUUAGCCUUUCCAAGAUCUCCCACAGUUUGGUUUUGGUUUUCAGACAUAGGAUCUCUUUUUAUUCACAUCAGCUAAAGAUCCAUUUUCUCACACCAUCCUAAAAAUGAAAGAAGGGAAAUAGAGGGAAAAUAGCCACAGAACUGAGCCCCAUUCAGGCUGUUCUUUCUCCAUUUACAGGAGUUGAAGGCUGCCUGUGGAAAGCGACAGAACAUAACCUCUGUCCCCAGAUCAGCCACCGCCGCGGUUUCUUGACAUAGGCUGGUUCUGAACUGAAUAGUGUCCUGUUAUAACCACUACUGUAAGCUGAGUAUAAAGGAAAAUAAAUCCUCUGUUUCUUAUCCACCAUGAAAGCAUUAGUUGCAGUCACAUUCAAAGUAAUGUGGAGAGCCUACCCGCGAGUGUGUGUGCUGAAGAAAUGCUUAUAAUUCUGAAUCUGGAUGGAUGAGUCAAGUUGAACCAGGAAAAAGCUAUAAGCAAACCACAUAUUGAAACCCAGAUAAGUUCAGUGAUUAAACUAUACCUUGAUGAUAAGGUCCCUCCACAGCAAGGCUGUCUAUGGUUCUAUGUUUCAGAAGUUGCUCCUAUUCUAAUUUCACUUCUGUGUAACUCUGUAACCAAACUGCGUGUGUUCCUGGUUCUUGAUUCCUUUGGUAAGAAAAGCAUUAGCACAAGUGAUGCAAUAAAAUUCAUACACAAGAUAGCUAAUACAUUUGUUAACUUUUUAUUUUGAAAUAAUUGCAGAUUUACAGCAAGUUGCAAGAAAAAAAUACAGGGAGGUUCUGUGUACCCUUCACCCAGUUUCACCCACUGGCAAUAUAAGUACAUUUUGAGACAUUUUUUAAAUGCAUGUGCCAGGCAUUUAUGCUAAGUGCCUUUAUGUACUUCCUGAUAUAACCCUUAAAACUACCCUGUGAAGUAGGUAUUGAUCUUUCAAUAUCUGCUUUUAAAAAUACAGGAAACUGAAGCUCAAAGAGGUUAAGUACUUUGACAAAAGUCA